AUUGAACGCUGGCGGCAUGCCUUACACAUGCAAGUCGAACGGCAGCAUAGAGAGCUUGCUCUCUGAUGGCGAGUGGCGAACGGGUGAGUAAAGCAUCGGAACGUACCGUGUAGUGGGGGAUAACGUAGCGAAAGUUACGCUAAUACCGCAUACGUACUGAGGUAGAAAGCAGGGGAUCGUAAGACCUUGCGCUAUACGAGCGGCCGAUGUCAGAUUAGCUAGUUGGUAGGGUAAAGGCCUACCAAGGCGACGAUCUGUAGCGGGUCUGAGAGGAUGAUCCGACACACGGGGACGGAGGCACGGCCCAGACUCCGACGGGAGGCAGCAGUGGGGAAUUUUGGACAAUGGGGGCAACCCUGAUCCAGCCAUGCCGCGUGAGUGAAGAAGGCCUUCGGGUUGUAAAGCUCUUUCGGCCGGGAAGAAAUCGCACAGGCUAAUACCCUGUGUGGAUGACGGUACCGGCAUAAGAAGCACCGGCUAACUACGUGCCAGCCGCCGCCGUAA
rnacentral:rRNA from 1 species